AAAUGUUUUAAAAAUAGGCAAAUUGUUUCGUUUAGUCCAUGCUUUCUUAUAAGCCAACCGUUAUCAGUUUGACUUUACAGGAACGGCGGGGCUUAACACGGCCCUGACUGCAUCGCAUGAAAAGAAAGUACAGUUGAAUGAGGAUUUUACGAGAAUGGCGAGGGACUCUUUUGUUUUGUAGAAGCAGUUUAUGGGCCGGACAGACGUGUGAAGGCCAGCGACGUGGAAGACCUCAUCGCAGAGACGCUGAGAUUCGCGCCUCACACAGGAGGAAAGGAGCGACAGGCAACUUCGUGGAACUGACAGUGAAGCCGGGCAAUCAUUCCUCUGAAGUGAGCUUUUGAAUUCUUGUAAACACUCUGGGUUUCAAGUUCAGCAUCAGUUUUGGAUGCAUUUAUAAUAAACCUCAUGUGACCUCUCCAUACCUGUGUGUGUGUGUGUGUGUGUGUUGCUGUGUACCCGGAGCUUUUGAUAUCUCCAGAAUCCUCUCAUGUAAUUGGGUUAGUUGUGUGUUUGUGUUUAUUGAAGAGACCGCUGCUGUAGGAGAGCAGGAUCGGGAGAUUGGCGGGUAGGAUAGUAGGGAGUACAUUUACAAGAGGGAUCCUAAUUAACUGGGAAUAAACUCAUCAUUUUGUGUCGUUGGCAAUGUUACCUGAAAGCAGUGUCAAUGUUAUUUCAUAACAUUAGUUACGAACGUUCUCGUAACGUUACGAAAACCUUCCAAAAAAUGUUCUUUAAACAUUACUUAAUGUUAUCCUGACU